rnacentral:rRNA from 1 species
GAAUAUUGCGCAAUGGGCGAAAGCCUGACGCAGCGACGCCGCGUGUGGGAUGACGGCCUUCGGGUUGUAAACCCCUGUCGAAUGGGACGAAUAGCUUCCGGAUCAAUACCCCGGAGGAAUGACGGUACCGUUAAAGGAAGCCACGGCUAACUCUGUGCCAGCAGCCGCGGUAAUACAGAGGUGGCAAGCGUUGUUCGGAAUUACUGGGCGUAAAGGGCGCGUAGGCGGCCAUCUAAGUCAGACGUGAAAUCCCCCGGCUCAACCUGGGAACUGCGUCUGAUACUGGAAGGCUCGAGUUUGGGAGAGGGAUGUAGAAUUCCAGGUGUAGCGGUGAAAUGCGUAGAUAUCUGGAGGAAUACCGGUGGCGAAGGCGGCAUCCUGGACCAAUACUGACGCUGAGGCGCGAAAGCUAGGGGAGCAAACGGG